rnacentral:rRNA from 1 species
CUGAACUAUACUCCGAGAACAAAAGUUUUUGGUUUUAAUCAAUAACAACUUUCAGCAGUGGAUGUCUAGGCUCGCACAUCGAUGAAGAACGCUGCGAACUGCGAUACGUAAUGCGAAUUGCAGAAUUCAGUGAGUCAUCGAAAUUUUGAACGCACAUUGCACUUUCGGGAUAUUCCUGGAAGUAUGCUUGUAUCAGUGUCCGUACAUCAAACUUGCCUUUCUUUUUUUGUGUAGUCAAGAUUAGAAACGGCAGAAUGUGAGGUGUCUCGCUGGCUCCCUCUUCGGAGGAGAAGACGCGAGUCCCUUUAAAUGUACGUUCGCUCUUUCUUGUGUCUAAGUAGAAGUGUGACUUUCGAACGCAGUGAUCUGUUUGGAUCGCUUUGCGCGAGUGGGCGACUUCGGUUAGGACAUUAAAGGAAGCAACCUCUAUUGGCGGUAUGUUAGGCUUCGGCCCGACUUUGCAGCUGACAGUGUGUUGUUUUCUGUUCUUUCCUUGAGGUGUACCUGUCUUGUGUGAGGCAAUGGUCUGGGCAAAUGGUUAUUGUGUAGUAGAAUUUUGCUGCUCUUGGGCGCCUCACUUGUGGGGUAAAGAAGACAACACCAAUUUGGGACAGUUUGUGGGAUUUAUCUCGCAGGCGCUUU